CCUACGGGAGGCAGCAGUGAGGAAUAUUGGUCAAUGGCCGGAAGGCUGAACCAGCCAUGCCGCGUGAAGGUCAGUGCCCUAUGGGCGUUAAACUUCUUUUGUGCGGGAGCAAUAAUGGUCACGUGUGGCCAGACGAGAGUACCGUACGAAUAAGCAUCGGCUACUCCGUGCCAGCAGCCGCGGUAAUACGGGGGAUGCAAGCGUUAUCCGGAUUUAUUGGGUUUAAAGGGUGCGUAGGCUGGGAGGUAAGUCAGCGGUGAAAUGCCCCCGCUCAACGGGGUGAAGUGCCAUUGAUACUGCCUGGCUGGAAUGCGGAUGCGGUGGGAGGAAUGUGUGGUGUAGCGGUGAAAUGCAUAGAUAUCACACAGAACACCGAUUGCGAAGGCAUCUCACGAAUCCGCGAUUGACGCUGAGGCACGAAAGCGUGGGUAUCAAACAGGAUUAGAUACCCUUGUAGUC
rnacentral:rRNA from 1 species